GCCGGGGUAGCCUAGUCCGGCCAAGGCGAUAGAUUCGAGAUCUAUUGCUCGUGAGAGCUCGGGAGUUCAAAUCUCCCCCCCGGCG
rfam:Thermoplasmatales archaeon I-plasma AMDT3_IPLC00004, whole genome shotgun sequence.